rnacentral:rRNA from 1 species
UAAGGAAUAUUGCGCAAUGGGCGACAGCCUGACGCAGCGACGCCGCGUGGGGGAUGAAGGUCUUCGGAUUGUAAACCCCUUUCGGCAGGGAAGAUGGAACGGGUAACCGUUCGGACGGUACCUGCAGAAGCAGCCACGGCUAACUUCGUGCCAGCAGCCGCGGUAAUACGAAGGUGGCAAGCGUUGUUCGGAUUUACUGGGCGUACAGGGAGCGUAGGCGGUUGGGUAAGCCCUCCGUGAAAUCUCCGGGCCUAACCCGGAAAGUGCGGAGGGGACUGCUCGGCUAGAGGAUGGGAGAGGAGCGCGGAAUUCCCGGUGUAGCGGUGAAAUGCGUAGAGAUCGGGGGGAAGGCCGGUGGCGAAGGCGGCGCUCUGGAACAUUUCUGACGCUGAGGCUCGAAAGCGUGGGGAGCAAACAGGAUUAGAUACCCCCGUAGUCCCUGAGCGGGCUGGCAAGGCGCAU